rnacentral:lncRNA from 1 species
CUCUGCAUCCCCGCCGUCACACAACACAAUCCAAAAAACGGACAAUUAUAAAUCGCGAUCUGGGUUGUUUCCUGCCAGACCUUAGUGGGCAGUGAGCUUGGCUGGCUAGCUAUACUACACCAAAGGUAAGAACUGUAGUAGUACUUUAUACAGCUCUUAUUCUGUACACACU